rnacentral:rRNA from 1 species
CCUACGGGUGGCAGCAGUGGGGAAUAUUGGGCAAUGGAGGAAACCCUGACGCAGCAACGCCGCGUGAAGGAUGAAGGUUUUCGGAUUGUAAACUUCUUUCGCGAGGGAAGAAGAAUGAAGAGAUCAUGCAAGAAAGCCCCGGCAAAACACGCGCCAGCAGCCGCGGCAAUACGCAGGGUGCGAGCGUUGUCCGGAAGGACUGGGCGUAAAGGGAGUGGAGGUUGCUCUGUAAGUUAUAUGUGAAAUCCCGCGGCUUAACCGGGGAAGUGCAUAUGAAACUGGGGAGCUUGAGUGCAGGAGAGGUGAGUGGAAUUCCUGGUGUAGCGGUGAAAUGCGUAGAUAUUAGGAAGAACACCGGUGGCGAAGGCGGCUCCCUGGACUGUAACUGACGCUGAGGCUCGAAAGCGUGGGGAGCAAACAGGAUUAGAUACCCUUGUAGUC